rnacentral:rRNA from 1 species
GGCAGCGUCAGAUGUGUAUAAGAGACAGGAGAUAGCUGGUUCUCCCCGAAAUAGCUUUAGGGCUAGCCUCGGAUUAUUCUAAUGGAGGUAAAGCACUGAAUGGGCUAGGGGCCUUACCAGGUUACCGAACCCUAUCAAACUAAGAAUGCCAUAUAGAAGAUGUCCGGGAGUCAGACUGCGAGAGAUAAGUCCCGUAGUCGAAAGGGAAACAGCCCAGACCGCCAGCUAAGGUCCCAAAGUGAUGGUUAAGUGGAAAAGGAUGUGGGUUUGCUAAGACAGCUAGGAUGUUGGCUUAGAAGCAGCCACUCAUUCAAAGAGUGCGUAAUAGCUCACUAGUCGAGUGAGCCUGCGCCGAAGAUGUACGGGGCUAAACCAUCCACCGAAGCUGCGGAAUGUCGAAUGACAUUGGUAGGGGAGCGUAGUGUAGUAGAGAGAAGCAUGACGGGAACGACAUGUGGACGAGGCAGUAGUGAGAAUGCCGGAAUGAGUAGCGAGAGUGAAGUGAGAAUCUUUACCGUCGAAAACCCAAGGUUUCCUGGGGAAGGUUCGUCCGCCCAGGGUAAGUCGGGACCUAAGCUGAGGCCGAGAGGCGUAGGUGAUGGAUAACAGGCGGAAAUUCCUGUACCGACGGUACACGUAUAAGAGAAGCGGGGACACAGGAGGAUAAGUGGAUCCGGCAGCAGGGAAAGCCGGAGUAAAGGAAGUAGAUAGAGACGUAGUGAAGUACGCGUCUUGUUUCGAAGGCCUGACGCGGAGCUCAAAUGGGAGCGAAGCCACAGAUUCCACACUGGCGAGAAAAGCCGCUAUUUAGUGUACAGUCGCCCGUACCGUAAACCGACACAGGUAGGUGAGGAGAGAAUCCUGAGACGAUCGGGAGAAGUGUUGUUAAGGAACUCGGCAAAUUAACCCCGUAAGUUAGCGAUAAGGGGAGCCUAGAGAUAGGCCGCAGAGAAAUGGCCCAAGCAACUGUUUACCAAAAACACAGGUCUCUGCUAAAUCGAAAGAUGAAGUAUAGGGGCUGACGCCUGCCCAGUGCUGGAAGGUUAAGGGGAGCUGUUAGCGCAAGCGAAGCGGUGAACUUAAGCCCCAGUGAACGGCGGCCGUAACUAUAACGGUCCUAAGGUAGCGAAAUUCCUUGUCAGGUAAGUUCUGACCCGCACGAAUGGCGUAAUGAUUUGGGAACUGUCUCAACAAGAGACCCGGCGAAAUUGUAGUAUACGUGAAGAUGCGUAUUAACCUGCGACUGGACGGAAAGACCCCGUAGAGCUUUACUGUAGCUUGGUAUUGAAUUUCGGCAAUGAAUGUACAGGAUAGGUGGGAGACUUGGAAGCCUCGGCGUCAGCUGAGGUGGAGUCACCCUUGGGAUACCACCCUUUUAUUGCUGGGGUUCUAACGGUGUGCCGUUAUCCGGGCACCGGACAUUGCCAGGUGGGCAGUUUGACUGGGGCGGUCGCCUCCCAAAAAGUAACGGAGGCGCCCAAAGGUUCCCUCAGAAUGGUUGGAAAUCAUUCGCAGAGUGCAAAGGCAGAAGGGAGCUUGACUGCGAGACAGACAUGUCGAGCAGAUACGAAAGUAGGGCUUAGUGAUCCGGCGGUAGAGUAUGGAAUUGCCGUCGCUUAACGGAUAAAAGUUACCUCGGGGAUAACAGGCUUAUUCCCCCCAAGAGUUCACAUCGACGGGGGAGUUUCUGUCUCUUAUACACAUCUCCGAGCCCACGAGACGGAGCUACAUCUCGUA